rnacentral:rRNA from 1 species
AACUCCGCAGGUAAGCGUGCUUGGGCGAAAGUAGUACUAGGAUGGGUGACCUCCUGGGAAGUACUCGUGUUGCACCCC